CUACGGGUUGCUCCAGUGGGGAAUAUUGCACAAUGGAGGAAACUCUGAUGCAGCAACGCCGCGUGGAGGAUGACACUUUUCGGAGCGUAAACUCCUUUUAUAUAGGAAGAAGAUGACGGUACUAUAUGAAUAAGCGCCGGCUAACUCCGUGCCAGCAGCCGCGGUAAUACGGAGGGCGCAAGCGUUACUCGGAAUCACUAGGCGUAAAGAGCGUGUAGGCGGAUUAAAAAGUCAGAAGUGAAAUCCUAUAGCUUAACUAUAGAACUGCUUCUGAAACUCUUAAUCUAGAAUAUGGGAGUGUAGAUGGAAUUUCUGGUGUAGGGGUAAAAUCCUUAGAUAUCAGAAGGCAUACCGAUUGCGAAGGCGAUCUACUAGAACAUUAUUGACGCUGAGACGCGAACGCGUGGGGAGCAAACAGGAUUAGAUACCCGCGUAGUC
rnacentral:rRNA from 1 species